UACGAAGGGGGCUAGCGUUGCUCGGAAUCACUGGGCGUAAAGGGUGCGUAGGCGGGUCUUUAAGUCAGGGGUGAAAUCCUGGAGCUCAACUCCAGAACGGCCUUUGAUACUGAAGAUCUUGAGUUCGGGAGAGGUGAGUGGAACUGCGAGUGUAGAGGUGAAAUUCGUAGAUAUUCGCAAGAACACCAGUGGCGAAGGCGGCUCACUGGCCCGAUACUGACGCUGAGGCACGAAAGCGUGGGGAGCAAACAGG
rnacentral:rRNA from 1 species